GCAAGGAGAGCUGCUGCAGCAAGUCAGGAAAACUCCAGUUGCAUGAAGAUUGAGCGCUUGCAGUUUGCAUCUUUGUUGCAAAACUCGCUCCAGACGAGAGGCAAGGCAAAGUCUUUUGUGCUUCCCCUCCCCCCAGCAAAGCAAAGGGGAAAAUGUCUCAGGCGAGAGUCAGGACAGAUAAAAGGGUGUCGAAGAGCAGAUGCGUUCGCUGCCGUAGAUCUGCAUGCAAAAUGGGCACAAUGCAUGCGAAUUGCAGCUGAUUGCAAGCGCGGAAUGAAAUGAAACUUUUAAAGAAGUGCGGGGAGGAGAUGAAAGGUGAAACUUGAGUGGAGUUACCAGGAAUUAAAUAUAUACCUAUGUUUCCAUGGGAAAGUAUUGUUCUUGUGCCAGGACUGAGAUCAUUUUCCACCGAUUUCUCCCCCCCCCCCCCCCCGCCUUAAUAUUUGGUAACUUUUGGUCAGAGGCAGCAAUGUGGUUUGUAACACCAGAUCGCUGAGAGCAUGCAGAAGGGCUGCUUUAUUUAGAAUUUAGGAGCAGGGGCUCGGCACUUGGGAUGGAGCGGGAGGGGCGUGUUUGGGUAGGGGACAACAGUGAUUUGAUUUUUUUUUGGAUUUUUUUUUUUUUUGCCAGCGUGGUGGGGAAAGCUUGAUCUUUGCUUUUUAACUUGAUGAUUAUUCCGGCGUGGCUCUGCCUUGUGUCCUGCAAGGGGGUGGUGGGAGGAGGUGGAGAAUUUAAUAUUGCAAAAAUGCUGUGGGAAUGCAAUAGUCCCUGCAAGACCAGGCUGAGAUGUUUAAGGAGGAGUUGCUCCGGCCAUUCAUUGUGAAAAUAGAUGCACAUAUAUGUCAGCGAUUGGCCACACAGAUGCAGCUUUUGGAGCUUCUUUUAAAUGUUUGGAUUUGAUGUUGCAGCUUGCUUCUUGCAUUUUGCAGCCCUCGCACAUAUGGGGUUUUGGGGGGGGGAGAGACAGUGCAUGGCCCGCUGGGAGAGCAGCUCCCAAACUGGGACUGAGGCUUUUUUGUUGUUGUUGUUGUUUUUAAAAAAACAAACCCAAGACAUCUGUGAAGUCCGUGGCCUUCCACUAUAAGCCUUGCUGGGAGGACAUAGGAAGGAGGUGCCUUCACAGCUCUUGCCACACAGUUUUUCCUUUGUAAGAAAAAUGUAAAGUUGUUGUAUAAUUUAUUCCUAAUUUGGGUUUGCUGCAGUCAUCUUUUCCAGCCAAGCAGAGAAUUGUAAAAGUUUCCAAUAGAAAGAGCCAAGGGAGUUUGAUAAUGCAA
rnacentral:lncRNA from 1 species